rnacentral:misc_RNA from 1 species
AAAGUUUGUUUGCAUCAGAAACAUUAUAUUUACAAAUUACAAAGCAUGUGUCAAAUUGGCAAACAGUAAGUCAUUAUGAAGUACCAGCUUUGCAAAUUGUCUGCUUGCUUCAAAACUGUGAAUGAAAUAACAUUUACUAAUCACAAAGGAGUGUGGCCAGCAUAAAGGUCCAAAUCACUUUCCUAAAAACCAAUGAAAGGAAAG